rnacentral:rRNA from 1 species
CACAUGCAAGUCGAACGGUAACAGGAAGCAGCUUGCUGCUUCGCUGACGAGUGGCGGACGGGUGAGUAAUGUCUGGGAAACUGCCUGAUGGAGGGGGAUAACUACUGGAAACGGUAGCUAAUACCGCAUAACGUCGCAAGACCAAAGAGGGGGACCUUCGGGCCUCUUGCCAUCGGAUGUGCCCAGAUGGGAUUAGCUAGUAGGUGGGGUAACGGCUCACCUAGGCGACGAUCCCUAGCUGGUCUGAGAGGAUGACCAGCCACACUGGAACUGAGACACGGUCCAGACUCCUACGGGAGGCAGCAGUGGGGAAUAUUGCACAAUGGGCGCAAGCCUGAUGCAGCCAUGCCGCGUGUAUGAAGAAGGCCUUCGGGUUGUAAAGUACUUUCAGCGGGGAGGAAGGCGAUAAGGUUAAUAACCUCAUCGAUUGACGUUACCCGCAGAAGAAGCACCGGCUAACUCCGUGCCAGCAGCCGCGGUAAUACGGAGGGUGCAAGCGUUAAUCGGAAUUACUGGGCGUAAAGCGCACGCAGGCGGUCUGUCAAGUCGGAUGUGAAAUCCCCGGGCUCAACCUGGGAACUGCAUUCGAAACUGGCAGGCUAGAGUCUUGUAGAGGGGGGUAGAAUUCCAGGUGUAGCGGUGAAAUGCGUAGAGAUCUGGAGGAAUACCGGUGGCGAAGGCGGCCCCCUGGACAAAGACUGACGCUCAGGUGCGAAAGC